GUGUUCCUUACGUGUGGACUGAGGGGGCUGGGAGGUUCUCUCUGACACGUGGUGAUUAUCAGUGCUGCCUUCCUGCAAAUGGAGGACAUUGCUACUACCUUGUAAACCAGGUCCAGCAUCUAUGAGCAAUGUGUCUUAUCUGAAGAAAGAAGAUAACAAGUCGGGAUUGAAACUCUUCCAGGACUUUGGUAUCUUGCUUCAUGCUGGUGUAGAAGAGACUUGCAGCCAGGAUCAGUACCACACAAAAUGAUAGCCCCAGGAGCAUAGGCAAUCCAGGUGAAGACCUGUCAUGUACUAGAAACAGCCUGGUCCACAGGUGGCCUUUUCCUCAGUAUUGAAGGAGGACAGCUACUGUCAUCUGUCUAAAGAGUUGAUCAAAACACAAAACAAGGCUUUCAAGCUGGAAUAAUGAAUUUUGAGUGAAACUUGGAAGCUUUGUGCCUGUAUUUUUGCCACGUCUCUCAAAGAGCAUGACACAAAACACAUCUGAUGUGACAUUUACUGUUAGAUCACUGUAAUAUUUAGAAUAGGGCAAUAUGGACAUUCCUUCAUCAUCGGAGAUCUUCAGUACUCUAAAGCUGUCUUCUCAGGAAAAAUCUUAUUUAAAGUAACAGAAAAGUGUUCAGAAAGGAUUUCUCAGUGCUACUGAAGUUAUUGAAGGUGGCUGCUCAACAGACUGGGGCAGAGGAACAGAAAUAUGAUUUUAAAUAUAUGAUUUAUGUCAUUGGAAGCAUCUUGGAAGUGCUCUUCUGAGCUAAGCAGCUCUGUUUUGGAUGCAGUGUUGCCAUUUCAACAACUGUAACUAUUCAGCAAUCUUGUGCUUGGACGCUAUCCCAUUGGGUAUGAGAAGGUAAUUGUUUGCAUUUCGAUAUCACAAUUGUGUUGCUGUUCUAUUUUUUGCUUGGAAGCUACACUCAGUCUUUGAUAAUGAAAUCAGAUUGCUGUGGAUUCUGCCAAAUAACAAAAAGCAGAGCUGAAAUAAUAAUAAAAAAUCCCUCAUCUGUGCCAGAAUGUUCCUAAUGUCAAACUCCAAAGUGAAUCCUAAGCAUCUCAGUUCGGAUACAUCCAUUGUCAUCAGAAAGUGGAGCAACAGAUGGCAAAUUUUUUACUUUUUGAAGACAUAAGUGGGUGGCAGAGAUUCUGCACGUUUUAUUUUUAAGAUAAAGUUGUCUUCUCCACACCUCUUCUCUACGCACCUUCAUCUACACCUCUUCAUUUGCUUUCUUCUGCUCAGGAAAGAAUAUUAUUUCCUAGAUGUUUUCUUUGUUUCUGCUAUGUGUUGUCCCUGCUCCGCUUUAUCCUCAUUUGUCUUCUUCCUACUCAGUAAAAAACCUGUAGUUUUCCCGAUGCAUCACACGCUGGAUAUUCCCAUGACUGAACACCUGCUGAUCACAUUGGCCUUGAAAGAGAUGCCACUAUGGGAUGGAUCCAGAGAGGGAUUUAGGGGUGACAUUCCUGGGCAGAUCAAGCCUACCAGAAUGGCCUUCCGGUGAAUACUUAUGCUUCCUACACAAUUCAGAAGACAAUUAUAUGUUUAAAAAUAGCAUUCACAGCUGCUGGGCCACUGAACAGGAAGACAUAUAACACACACAGCAGGAACUGCCAUGGAGUGAGGAACAUGUUCAGCACUGAUACUUUCUCUUGAAGAAUUAAUAAGCUAGAUUUUGGCAUGGCAUAUCACUGGUGAGGACGUUUUCUCUGAUCUUAGGGUCAUACAAGCAUCCAUACCUUCUCUGUGUCAUCUUCAUGGGCAGAAUGGU
rnacentral:lncRNA from 1 species